CGGCGUUAUCAACCAAAACCACUUUCCAGCCAUCAGGGUCAAGGAAAGAGGCAAUCUUUGUGUUGAGCCCUGGUAGUGGACCUGGCUGCCGCAAAAUCUUUCCCCCUAGUUCUUUUGUAACCAACUCAACAGCCUCAGCACUCUUGUAGACAUCUUCAGUGCCAAUAGCAACCUGAGCAUAUGCGUUGCCCUUGGUAUAUUCUGUGACACCAUAG
rnacentral:misc_RNA from 1 species